UACGUAGGGUGCGAGCGUUACUCGGCAUUACUAGGCGGAAAGCGUGCGCAGGCGGUUUUGUAAGCCAGAUGUGAAAUCCCCGGGCUUAACCUGGGAAUGGCAUUUGGGACUGCAAGGCUUGAGUGCGGCAGAGGAGACUGGAAUUCCUGGUGUAGCAGUGAAAUGCGUAGAUAUCGUGAGGAACACCAGAGGCGAAGGCGGUUACCUGGACAGUUACUGACGCUCAGGCACGAAAGCAUGGGGAGCAAAAGGG
rnacentral:rRNA from 1 species